rnacentral:rRNA from 1 species
UACGUAGGUGGCAAGCGUUGUCCGGAUUUACUGGGCGUAAAGGGCGCGCAGGCGGCUCAUGAAGGCUGUGGUGAAAGUCCGGGGCUCAACCUCGGAUCGGCCGUGGCGACUCGUGGGCUGGAGCACUGUAGAGGCGGGUGGAAUUCCGGGUGUAGCGGUGGAAUGCGUAGAGAUCCGGAAGAACACCAGUGGCGAAGGCGGCCCGCUGGGCAGUGGCUGACGCUGAGGCGCGACAGCGUGGGGAGCAAACAGG